GUUUACUUACAAUUGUGGCCUAUUCACUCAUGUACAAUCGAGUGUAAAAAUUCUUAGUAUAUGGCCACUUGUGUUAAGCUUAUUCCAAGGUUGAAACUAAUUCAAUAUUUUGUUGGUUAAUUUGAGUAUUCCUUGCUGGUAUUGUGGAAGAGCUUUGAACCUCUUUCUGGAUAACAUCGAGGGCCACUGCAAGUAAUCACUCUGUACCAGUACUUGAGGUUUAAAUAACUAAUUUGAUAUAUUUGUUAUGUACAAGGCUGUUUACACAGGUAGCCCAUUUCUGAUUGCCCCCCCCAACUAAUUGGUAUUUUCAGCAAUCGCAUCUUUUUCAGCGCUGAUCUGAUUGAUCAAAAUACCAAAUAAAAGAGAAUUUGGCUGCCAGUGUAAACUAGGCAUACUUUACCAAUUUUUGCAUACUUCAGCCAUUUCUGGUUUAGGAAGAAGGAAAAAACGUUAGUGCAGACAAUCCUUUCAAAGUGCAAUUGAUCCUGAUUAGUAGCAAAUUGCAUGCAUGAUGCUCACCCACACAUUGAGUGGUGUCCUAAUAUCCCCUGAAGUUUACUAUAAAAGGGAAUGAGCGAGUGAACACUUUGGGAGGAAAGAAUUGGGAUGUAGCAAGGUUUUUUCAACUAGGUGGGCACAGAUGUCUUUGUAGUUUGUGAUAAUGAGAUUCAAAGUAACAACUAGGCGUUAGAAAGAUGGGAGUAACAGGAUGUGGUGAAAUUAACUCCUGAUCUUUGUGCAUUUGAAAUGUUUAUAAUACUGCCUCAAAAUGUACAAUCACUUCAGUAAUUACAUUUGAUUUGAGAGGUGUCUGAGACAGGCCUAUACUGAACAAAAAUAUGAACGCUACAAUUUCUAAGAUUUCACUGGGUUACAGUUCAUAUAAGGAAAUCAGUCCACCGAAAUAAAUUAGCCCCUAAUCUAUGGAUUUCACAUUCCUGGGCAGAGGUGCAGCCAUAGGCCCACCCAAUCAGAAUUAGUUUCCCCCCACAAAAUGGCGUUAUUACAAAC
rnacentral:lncRNA from 1 species